AGAGUUUGAUCCUGGCUCAGGAUGAACGCUGGCGGCGUGCCUAACACAUGCAAGUCGAGCGAUUUACUUCGGUAAAGAGCGGCGGACGGGUGAGUAACGCGUGGGUAACCUGCCUCAUACACAUGGAUAACAUACCGAAAGGUAUGCUAAUACAAGAUAAUAUAAGAGAUUCGCAUGGAUUUCUUAUCAAAGCUCCGGCGGUAUGAGAUGGACCCGCGUCUGAUUAGCUAGUUGGUAAGGUAACGGCUUACCAAGGCGACGAUCAGUAGCCGACCUGAGAGGGUGAUCGGCCACAUUGGAACUGAGACACGGUCCAAACUCCUACGGGAGGCAGCAGUGGGGAAUAUUGCACAAUGGGCGAAAGCCUGAUGCAGCAACGCCGCGUGAGCGAUGAAGGCCUUCGGGUCGUAAAGCUCUGUCCUCAAGGAAGAUAAUGACGGUACUUGAGGAGGAAGCCCCGGCUAACUACGUGCCAGCAGCCGCGGUAAUACGUAGGGGGCUAGCGUUAUCCGGAUUUACUGGGCGUAAAGGGUGCGUAGGUGGUUUCUUAAGUCAGGAGUGAAAGGCUACGGCUCAACCGUAGUAAGCUCUUGAAACUGGGAAACUUGAGUGCAGGAGAGGAAAGUGGAAUUCCUAGUGUAGCGGUGAAAUGCGUAGAUAUUAGGAGGAACACCAGUAGCGAAGGCGGCUUUCUGGACUGUAACUGACACUGAGGCACGAAAGCGUGGGGAGCAAACAGGAUUAGAUACCCUGGUAGUCCGCGCCGUAAACGAUGAGUACUAGGUGUCGGGGGUUACCCCCCUCGGUGCCGCAGCUAACGCAUUAAGUACUCCGCCUGGGGAGUACGCUCGCAAGAGUGAAACUCAAAGGAAUUGACGG
rnacentral:rRNA from 1 species